UUAGUAAUCGGCGAUCAGCAUGCCGGUGACUACUUCCGGGCCUUGUACACACCGCCCGUCACACCAUGAGAGUUUGUAACACCCAAAGUCGGUGGGGUAACCUUUUAGGAACCAGCCGC
rnacentral:rRNA from 1 species